rnacentral:rRNA from 1 species
AGUAGUCAUAUGCUUGUCUCAAAGAUUAAGCCAUGCAUGUCUCAGUGCAAGCCACAUUAAGGUGAAACCGCGAAUGGCUCAUUAAAUCAGUUAUGGUUCCUUGGAUCCUACCAAUCCUACUUGGAUAACUGUGGUAAUUCUAGAGCUAAUACAUGCACCCAGAGCUCCGUCCAGAAAUGGCCGGGGCGCAGUUAUUAGAUCAAAACCAAUCGGUCGGGCUCGCCCGUCCGUCGUUUUGGUGACUCUGAAUAACCACCGCUGAUCGCACGGCCUCGCGCCGGCGACGUAUCCUUCGAAUGUCUGCCUUAUCAACUGUCGAUGGUAGGUUCUGCGCCUACCAUGGUUGUAACGGGUAACGGGGAAUCAGGGUUCGAUUCCGGAGAGGGAGCCUGAGAAACGGCUACCACAUCCAAGGAAGGCAGCAGGCGCGCAAAUUACCCACUCCCGGCACGGGGAGGUAGUGACGAAAAAUAACGAUACGGGACUCAUCCGAGGCCCCGUAAUCGGAAUGAGAACACUUUAAAUCUUUUAACGAGUACCUAAUGGAGGGCAAGUCUGGUGCCAGCAGCCGCGGUAAUUCCAGCUCCAUUGGCGUAUAUUAAAG